AACACUAGACUUCAAAAACGUUUGGCAGGCGAACAAACAGGUAAUGGAGCUCACACAGCUACUGAUCAAUCUUCCUUCUUAAUGUCAACCCUGAUAGAUCCCCGAGUCCAAAUAGAAACUACUCCGAGGCUUGAGGCUCCAAGCAAACCUAACACUAGAAUGCAAAAACGUUUACAAAGCCAAGGACUCCAACAGCCUCUGCUUUAAGAUUCUAUAUCGACAAUAACACUAGACACAUUGAACACAAUAA